GACGAACCGUGCGAACGUUAUUCGGAAUCAUUGGGCUUAAAGGGCGCGUAGGCGGCGGUGUAAGUUGGAAGUGAAAUCCCAUCGGCUCAACCGUGGAAUUGCUCCCAGUACUGCAUCGCUCGAGGGGGAUAGGGGUCUGCGGAACUACCGGUGGAGCGGUGAAAUGUGUUGAUAUCGGUGGGAACGCCAGUGGCGAAAGCGGCAGACUAGACCCUUCCUGACGCUGAUGCGCGAAAGCUAGGGGAGCAGACGGG
rnacentral:rRNA from 1 species